UUGGGCAGGCCCCCACGGA
rnacentral:misc_RNA from 1 species